rnacentral:rRNA from 1 species
CAUCGACACCUUGACGCAUAUGGCGGCCUCGGGUCCAUCCCGUGGCCACGCCCGUCUGAGGGUCGGCG